UAUUUUAGAAUUUAAAAAGAUAAUGGGUAGUUGUGUUUCUAAAAAAUAGGAUUCAUUAUCUGAUUUUUCUUUUAAUUUUAUUUUAUUUUAAAUAUGAAAAAGUGUGAAUUUACCGUAUUAUCCUCAUUUAAUUAAUAAUUUUAAUUCUUAAUGUUUGGAUUAACCAAGGGCAUUUUCUGGUAUUUUGAAUGUUUCACUAUUCUCUGCCUUUUGCUUUAUAUAUAUAGAUAUAGA
rnacentral:lncRNA from 1 species